rnacentral:rRNA from 1 species
UACAGGGGGUGCAAACGUUGCUCGGAAUCAUUGGGCGUAAAGCGCGUGUAGGCGGUCCGGUAAGUCCGCUGUGAAAGCCGGGGGCUCAACCCUCGGAUGCCGGUGGAUACUGUCGGGCUUGAGUACGGAAGAGGCGAGUGGAAUUCCUGGUGUAGCGGUGAAAUGCGCAGAUAUCAGGAGGAACACCAAUUGCGAAGGCAGCUCGCUGGGACGUUACUGACGCUGAGACGCGAAAGCGUGGGGAGCAAACAGG